rnacentral:rRNA from 1 species
AUUGAACGCUGGCGGCAGGCCUAACACAUGCAAGUCGAACGAGUGGCGGACGGGUGAGUAAUGUCUGGGAAACUGCCUGAUGGAGGGGGAUAACUACUGGAAACGGUAGCUAAUACCGCAUACCAUCGGAUGUGCCCAGAUGGGAUUAGCUAGUAGGGGGGGUAAAGGCGCACCUAGGGGACGAUCCCUAGCUGGUCUGAGAGGCUGACCAGCACAACUGGAACUGAGACACGGUCCAGACUCGUACGUGAGGCAGCAGUGGGGAAUAUUGAACAAUGGGCGCAAGCCUGAUGCAGCCAUGCCGCGUGUAUGAAGAAGGCCUUCGGGUUGUAAAGUACUUUCAGCGGGGAGGCGUUACCCGCAGAAGAAGCACCGGCUAACUCCGUGCCAGCGCCGCGGUAAGUC